rnacentral:rRNA from 1 species
CCUACGGGUGGCAGCAGUGAGGAAUAUUGGUCAAUGGACGAGAGUCUGAUCCAGCCAAGUAGCGUGAAGGAUGACUGCCCUCUGGGUUGUAAACUUCUUUUAUAUGGGAAUAAAAUGUUCCACGUGUGGGAUUUUGUCUGUACAAUAUGAAUAAGGCUCGGAUAACUCCGUGCAAGCAGCCGCGGUAAUACGGAGGAUCCGAGCGUUAUCCGGAUUUAUUGGGUUUAACGGGUGCGUAGGUGGAUUGUUAAGUCAGUUGUGAAAGUUUGCGGCUCAACCGUAACAUUGCAGUUGAAACUGGCAGUCUUGAGUACAGUAGAGGUGGGCGGAAUUCGUGGUGUAGCGGUGAAAUGCUUAGAGAUCGCGAAGAACUCCGAUUGCGAAGGCAGCUCACUGGACUGCAACUGACACUGAGGCUCGAAAGUAUGGGUAUCAAACAGGAUUAGAUACCCUAGUAGUC